CUCCCCAUCUCUCCUCCCCUUCAUAAUUUUCUCAGCCGCCCCUUCUCUAUUAUCUCUUUCUCCUCAUCCUCUCUCUCUCCGACGAAGAAGGUGAAGGAGGUGAUGAUGGCAAGGGACACAUCGACGACAACGACGAUGAGAGUGAGCCCAUACCUUCAUCGAUGAUGAUGACGACAACGAUGAGAGGAGAUCAUUGGAGCUUCUGAGAUGCGGCAACAAAGAAAAUGGAGCUGUAAUUUAAAAGUUGGUUGUAAUUUAGUUUGCUUCAUUAUAAAUUUGGUUGUAAUUUUAAAUUUAAUGUUGGAUUAUUUUAUUAUUUUAUUAUUUUUUCUAAAGAAUGAUUGCUUGAUUCAAUA